CCUACGGGAGGCAGCAGUGGGGAAUAUUGCACAAUGGGCGAAAGCCUGAUGCAGCGACGCCGCGUGAGGGAUGACGGCCUUCGGGUUGUAAACCUCUUUCAGCAGGGAAGAAGCGAAAGUGACGGUACCUGCAGAAGAAGCGCCGGCUAACUACGUGCCAGCAGCCGCGGUAAUACGUAGGGCGCAAGCGUUGUCCGGAAUUAUUGGGCGUAAAGAGCUCGUAGGCGGCUUGUCACGUCGGGUGUGAAAGCCCGGGGCUUAACCCCGGGUCUGCAUUCGAUACGGGCUAGCUAGAGUGUGGUAGGGGAGAUCGGAAUUCCUGGUGUAGCGGUGAAAUGCGCAGAUAUCAGGAGGAACACCGGUGGCGAAGGCGGAUCUCUGGGCCAUUACUGACGCUGAGGAGCGAAAGCGUGGGGAGCGAACAGGAUUAGAUACCCUGGUAGUCCACGCCGUAAACGGUGGAACUAGGUGUUGGCGACAUCACGUCGUCGUGCGCNGCACGCAUACGUUCCCGCCGUCGGGUAGGUACGGCCGCGAGACGUAAACUUAAAGUAGAAGUGUACGGCGUUGAGACGUUGCCGAAGGCGACGACGAGGGAGGAGG
rnacentral:rRNA from 1 species